AUACGUAGGUGACAAGCGUUAUCCGGAUUUACUGGGCGUAAAGGGCGUGUAGGCGGUCUUGCAAGUCAGAAGUGAAAUUCCUGAGCUCAACUCGGGCGCUGCUUCUGAAACUGCAGGACUUGAGUGCUGGAGGGGAUAGCGGAAUUCCUAGUGGAGCGGUAAAAUGCGCAGAUAUUAGGAAGAACACCGGUGGCGAAGGCGGCUAUCUGGACAGUAACUGACGCUGAGGCGCGAAAGCGUGGGGAUCAAACAGGAUUAGGUACCCUGGUAGUCCACGCAGUAAACGAUGAUAACUAACCGCUGGGUCGUAGUGAUUCAGUGGCCAAGCGAAAGCGAUAAGUUAUCCACCUGGGGAGUACGACCGCAAGGUUGAAACUCAAAUGAAUUGACGGGG
rnacentral:rRNA from 1 species